rnacentral:sRNA from 1 species
GAUCGGGAUCGAAGCGUAGCUAGAAAUCUCUUGGAAUCAGCGUCCAUCUUUGCCCCUACGAAAUUGUCGAACUUUUGGAGCAAAUAGAAGGACGAAUUUGUAAUAAAUCUCAAGCCGGAUCGAUCCUGAAUAGAUGAAGAAGAAGACGAUGAUUUCUUGGUAGGAGGAGAG